AAGCUUGCUUCUAUGACGUUAGCGGCGGACGGGUGAGUAACACGUGGGCAACCUGCCUGUAAGACUGGGAUAACUUCGGGAAACCGAAGCUAAUACCGGAUAGGAUCUUCUCCUUCAUGGGAGAUGAUUGAAAGAUGGUUUCGGCUAUCACUUACAGAUGGGCCCGCGGUGCAUUAGCUAGUUGGUGAGGUAACGGCUCACCAAGGCAACGAUGCAUAGCCAACCUGAGAGGGUGAUCGGCCACACUGGGACUGAGACACGGCCCAGACUCCUACGGGAGGCAGCAAUAGGGAAUCUUCCGCAAUGGACGAAAGUCUGACGGAGCAACGCCGCGUGAGUGAUGAAGGCUUUCGGGUCGUAAAACUCUGUUGUUAGGGAAGAACAAGUACAAGAGUAACUGCUCGUACCUUGACGGUACCUAACCAGAAAGCCACGGCUAACUACGUGCCAGCAGCCGCGGUAAUACGUAGGUGGCAAGCGUUAUCCGGAAUUAUUGGGCGUAAAGCGCGCGCAUGCGGUUUCUUAAGUCUGAUGUGAAAGCCCACGGCUCAACCGUGGAGGGUCUUUGGAAACUGGGGAACUUGAGUGCAG
rnacentral:rRNA from 2 species